rnacentral:lncRNA from 1 species
CCAGAGAGAUUUUGAUUCAUCGCCAAGAAAAAGAAAAGAAACUCUGCUUAUCGAGGAGAAAGAUGGCGACCAAUGAUGAUGAUGCUAACAAAAGCGUCGAGGGUUCGGAGGCAGGAGAGAAGAGAUGUUUUGAUCUUUUUGCGAUGUUGCUUCUCGCUUGCGGUGACGAUGAAACAAGAGCGAAACGAGGACAAGACGUGCAAAAGAGAAACAUGCUCAUGAUCGACACUAUUACUAAUGCUGCCACCAACACUUUCUUGCUAGGCAAGCGAAAGAUUGAUGAUGAGUCCAAGAAUCAACAACACAUUGCUUCUUCGAGUUUGGAAGAGUCAAAGAGGCGUCGUGUGGUGGAGUCUAACGACGAACCCAUCAGAGCAGAACCUAUUAGAGAAAUUAAGCCUCCGGUUAAGGAAAGAAAGCGACCGGUUAAAAGAAAGGCGCCAGUCAGAAAGGAACCGGUUAGAAGAGAACCGGUGGUGACUCCGGGAUGGGUGGUUGACCUAAUGAAGACAUUCAAAGGUCGUGAGGGGGAUGCGAAGAUGAUAUUUGAGAAGGCGAUGACGAAGACAGAUGUCACAACAAACGAAGGACGUCUCUUGAUGCCCUUUAACCAAAUGGCUGAUAUGCACUUUUUGACCGAGGCGGAGUGGAAGAUCCUAGAGGAGCAUCACAAACACAAGAGAGAUGUUAAAAAAGGAGUUAACGUUGAUGAGAAAAGAAAAGGAGUUGAUGUCAUCUUGUUGCGUCGUAAUGGUAAUAACAAGGGAUGGGAGCUUAACCUGAGGAUAUGGGAGAUGAGGUCUAGUUUCAACUACGCCUUGUGUACUGGUUGGAACCAGCUCGUCCGCGAUAACGACCUCCACACGAACCAGACUAUUACCCUCUGGUCCUUCCAUUCCCGUGAUGGCACUCUCUACUUUGCUUUCGAUCUUCCCACUCACGAUGAAGAAGGUAUGGCUCUAGCUCUGGUUCCAGUUACAUCUUCAUCCAUGGAUAUGGUUGAAAUCUCUGAGGAGGAUCCGUUUGCGUGUGAAGAGGCAAACAGGAGACUUUAUCAAUUUAUAAGGAGUAGCAGAACUCCUCGCGUUUGUGUUCAAAUCAUAACAAAUGACUCCAGCAACCUCUACCUCGAGGGUGGUUUGGAUCUAAACAGAACACCACCUGAAGAGUGCACUGAGAUGGAUUCUGAUCUCGAGGCUGUACAAGAGACGACCUCACAGGAAUCCCUCACUGAGACCUCACUAGUAUCCUGGAGGUUCCUCAUAGAAACAGCUGUGCUCUAUGUGACUUAAAUCUUUGUAUUAUUCUAAACCCUAGCUCUCUAUUGGCCACGUCAUGCAAGUAGUUUAUUUCUUAGGCAUUCAAAAGGUUUUCUUAUUGUUUUAGUUUUUUGGUCCACUACUACUAUACUCUUGGAGUGUUGUAGCUUCCUUAAUCGGAUGAUAAACAAUGUUUAUUUUUGGCAAUUGUAUUUCAGUAAUCAUUAAGUAAAUGCUUUAACCAGAUAAGAUCAGGAUAAACAAAUUAACUACACAAGGAAAGAUAAUCCUACGUAAAUUCAAUGCAACAAAGAAACAACACUUGAUGAGUGACAAUAAACAGACUAAUUUUUAUUUUCUUUUUAAAUUAAAAUUAAUUUCAGUCAAAAACGUUUUUACAAUAGAUGUGGCUUUGUUGUCAAAAAUCUAACAAGGAUCAUAGUUGCUGAUAUCCCAAACUUCUUGUUGCAAACCAGAUGGCCAUUGCACCUGUAUAUUUGCUGUACUUCAUUCUGUGGAGAGUUGAGAGCUUGUUCCUCGCACGUUCUUGUCGAUGUACUUUGCCAUUUGGUGGAAGAGAGUGAGAUUUUUUUUUUGUCACAAAAAUUUCAUUUAAACUAAGAAAUAGAGAAUUGGUCCAAAGAUGACCCAACUCUUGAAGUACAUUACAAAGAUAAGAAGGCUUGAAGAGCCUUUUUUUGCUAAAACAUCGGCUGAAACGAUUACCGAACUAGAGAAGGAGAAUAAUGCAAAACCAGAGGAGAUCGAACGGAUGUCUUUCACAAAACCGAUGAUUUCAUUAGACUGGAAGUUGCCGGAGAUAACUCUGAUGAGCGUUGAAUUGUUGGAGAAAACCUUGAGUUUUGGGAACUUUAGGGUUAGCGCCAUGUGAAGGGCCGAUGGCAUCGCAAUAGCCUCUACAAUUAGGGAAGAUCUGAUGUAACUUUGAUCCAAGGAUCCAUGGAUCGGAGCUUCAAGAUCGUGGUUGAGAGACUCUCCUUUACUUCAUCUAAUAAGUAUGUAACUGAUGGAACCAUUGGAGGAUGAGAUCGUAUCGGGUUCUCGAUGGAACUUUGUCGGAAGCUGUUGGCCGGCAAGAGCAGCUGAGAGUCUCUAGAACCAUAGCUAAUUAAGAGCAGUUGGGAAAGGCCUUCUUUGCCUGAAUAUAACUCUAAUAUUCAUGAGAAAUGGAUCGGAGACUGUGUAGACUCGGAUGGCCUGUGAUAGUUGACAAAACAGUGGAACAAAUUCAAGCACAACAUCACAGCUCUGGGCUAUGUGAACCCUGUCGACUGAAGCUAGAUGAUGGACAUACACCAUUAACGAACCAUUGAAGACAUCGUACCAGACAAGAGAAAUAAGCCUAACGGGAUUUAAUGAUAGAACAUAGACUUUGGUUAAGUCAAAACUUUGAACAUCCGCAUUACCGUGCGGGAUCCAAUACGCUUUGUCAGAACUGGGUCUGAAUCGCUGGUCAUCGGAUUCCAUCAAGCUGGAGUUGAUGUGUGUGUUGUCUGGACUGAGAACACGCCCAGAGAGUCGGUGGAGGGUCGGGGGGGGGGACUGGAGGGUCUGGCGGAUCCACCGGAAGCCUAACGUAAAGCUCUGAAUCUGGUGGUUCAAGGGGCAAGCAAGGAGAAGGAGAUGAACCAGUUACAGGGAGAUCCAUUGGAGGAGAUGAAGAAGAAACCUUUGGGAUGGUGUGGACGUCGACGGCAGCGGAAGAGAUUCUCGAGCUUAGGAGGAGCUAUGCCGGAUUGAGAUCAUCUUCAUUCUGGUGGAGAAAGCUUGUUGAGCGGCUGCCUCGGACUCUGUGCCUGGGAGAGAAACGAACUAGGGCGGAAGAGAGUGAGGUUAUGAGCUAAGAAAAGAAGCCAAGCUUUGUUCUUAUACUAAACCUCUCUGUAGAAUAUUCCACUAGCUUCCUCCAGAGCUCUCCUACAUUCAUUUCGUGCAAACCUAACUUUUCAAUCACCUAAUACUCUAUAUAACAUGCUUUCUUAAGGUCUUGAAAUAGUGAUGUUGUUUCAAUGAGUUAGGCAUUCUAAUAACCUGCUUGACAUUUUGAAAAGCUUGAGGCCAAAUGUGUUGUAUGACAUCAAGGGUCCUGACUGGAGAUAGUAUAAUUAUGUUAGUAAGAACAUACAGAUUUUUUUACAUAUGAUUUUUUUAAACAUUGUCGGACACAAUGACGAAAGUUAUACUAUACUAUAUAUGAAUCAUACUAGAAUAGAAUAAUGCACUUGAUUUAUAUGUUGAGUAGUAAGCUACGUGUAUUCGGAUUUUGCAAUUCCCUGUUUCUAUAAUAGCUAUUAUUUUGCUAUAAUAUUGAAUACAUGUUUGGGUUAAUGAAGGUUCACACGCAUGGUUUUUUUUACUACCUCUGUUUUUUAAAGAUAGAUUUUUAGUGUUUUUACGCAUAUUAAGAAAACACAUUAAAUUAUUAUUGUUUUUUGUAAUUAUCAGCUUCCGAUACCUUUCAACCAAUAACAAUUCGAUAAACUCAAUUAAAAUUUUCAAAGUUUAUAAUUUCUACAUAAAAUGUAAAAAUUAUAUCUUUGUAAAAUAUAUUUUCUAAAAACUUCUAUCCUAAUGGAAAGGAGUGAGUAUUAUACUAUUCUAUUUACCGAAUAGUGUAUUCUCUCUCUCACUCUCACUAUCUCUCUCUCACUCUGUCAAUCUCUCUCUCUCUCUAAAACCAAAAUAGGGGCCCACGUCUAUAUUGUAAAAGUAUAAAAUACAAGCAAAUAAUGAUAAAUUAGAAGAAAUAGAAAAACUUUUGAGUCGUCAGAAAGAUAAAAGAAAAAUAAAAAUAAAAACUUAUAUAAAAAUAAGAUUUACUUAUAUCAAACGCAGACAAUAAUUUUGAACUUUUAUUAGUGUUUUUUCAUUUUUUUCAAUACAAUGUACAUAUAAAUAAUGUUAAUUAUAUAAAAAAAAAAUUAAAAUGAGGCCUUUGAAAGUGGGGGACGUAUUCCCAGGUUUCACUAUGCUCUAUUCAGGGACGCCCCUGCACACACACACACUCACACUCUCUCUCACUCUCACUCUCAGUAUUUCUCUUUCACUCUGUCAAUCUCUCUCACACUCACUCUCACUCUCUCUCUCUCUAAAACCAAAAUAGGGGCCCACAUCUAUAUUAUAAAAAUAUAAAAUACAAGCAAAAAUGAUAAAUUAGAAGAAAUAGAAAAACUUUUGAAUCGUCAGAGAGAUAAAAGAAAAAUAAAAAUAAAAAUAAAAACUUAUAUAAAAAUAAGAUUUUAUGUCAAACGCAGAUCUCAAGAUAAUUUUAAACUUUUAUUAGUGUUUUUUUUCAAUACAAUGUACAUAUAAAUAAUGCUAAUUAUAUAAAAACAAUUAAAAUGAAGCUUUUGAAAGUGGGGGCCGUAGGCCCAGGUUUUACUAUGCUCUGUUCAGGGACGCCCACACACUCACACUCUCUCUCACUCUCACUCUCACUAUCUCUGCACUCACACUCUCUCUCACUCUCACUCUCACUAUCUCUCUCUCUCUCUCUCUGUCAAUCUCUCUUACACUCACUCUCACUCUCUCUCUCUCUCACAAUCUCUCUCACUCACUCUCUCUCUCUCUCUCUCCCUCUCUCUCUCUCUCAUAGACACUUAAAAUUAUAUCAUUGAUAUGGUUCGUUUUUUAUACUGUUUAUUUAAAAAUAUAAUACAGUGUAAUACAUUACUUCUGCUUAAUGUCACUACAAAAAGGGAUUUGAUAGCAUAAUAUAAUAUCAUUGUUUUAUUUCUGAUUUUAGUUUAUACUAAUAACACUUAAUUAACGCUCUUUUGAAAAAUUAGUGAGUGGAAGCAGAAAAUUACUAUACCGCCAAUACUUAGCUGAAAAUCAGACUUCAUCGCCAAAUACAUAAUUUAAGCGAUUUCAAUAAAGCUAUCAAUGACAUAAGAUAGCAUUUUUCAUACGCUAAUAAAAUUCAUUUUUCAAUUAUUAUACUUCAAACACUAAAACUCUAAACCUAAACUAUAUGCCAAAUAAUACACUUAAAUUUUAUAUCUAACACAAUUGUAAUUUUUAACGUAUUUAGUUUUAUAACUUUAACUUUAUAACUAAUUCUUAAUAUUUAUACUUAAUAAUUAAUUUUACAAUUUAUAAAUCUUAAAUUCAAAAUUAAACUCCAAACCCUAUAUCUAAACUCCAAACUCUAUCCCCCAAACCCCAAUACUUUACUUCAAACCCUAUACUAUACCACAAACCAUAAAUCUAAACACUAAAACUAAUAUUUUCAAACUUAAACACCAAAUCUUAACACAUAAACUACAAAUCAAAUAUUUUCAAAUUUUAUUCUCAAAAUUUUGUGGCUAUAGCAAUUUGAAACCCUAAACUUUUUAAAAAAUUCUAAACUCUAAACAUAAGACUUAAAACUCUAAUCUUUUCACACUAUAACCUCAAAUCUUAAAUUUACACUACUCAAAAUUGAAUCUUUUAAAUUUUCAAUCAAAAUUUAUACCCUAAACAUUCAUUAAAAUCAUAAACUCUAAAUACAAACUUUAAAACUCUAUUAUAAAUAUAUGCCUCCUUCAACCUAAAUUAUACCCAAACCAUAUACCAUACAUUAAUCAGAAACCUUUAUAUUUAAAUUCAAACUUCUUAUAUUCCAAACUCCAAAACAUUUUAUAUUUUCAAUUAAUUAACCUUAACACUAUAAAUAAAAUUCUUUUUUAAACUCCAAACCUUAAACUUAACCAUAUAUCCUUUAAUUAACUCUAAACCCCAAACUUUAUAUUUUCCAAACUUUAACCCUAAAUCACCAAAGUAAAUCACAAAUACUUUUGGUUAUCUAUUUUAAAUUAUAUAUUUUUUAUCUGAAAAUAAGUUUCAAAUGAUGAAACCAAAUUAUUUAAUUAUAUUAAUAUAGCUUUUAAAACAUAAUUAUAAAAUAUUGCAUACAAUUGAUUUUUAUAAAAUUACUUUACAUAAUCCCCUUUUGUAAGGUUUACAAAGGAAAAUUAUGAUAUUUUAAAAAUGUUAUCAGUUUUUUUUAAAAAUUUUAGAAUACUAAAAACAUAAAUUUACAUUAAACAUACAAUUAUAUUUAACAAAAUAUAUUGAUCUCAAAUAUAAAUAAUUCUAUAAUUAUAUUUUCAAAUUUAAGUUUUAUUUAUUUGAAAAUAUAGUUUCUCAUUAGAUUGGGAAUAUAAUUAUCGUACUAUAUUUGAAAUCGUAGUUGCGAAAAAGAAAAUAAGUUGCAUUUCAAAUUUAAAAUCAUAAAUAGGAUAAUUUCAUGAUCAUCCCUAUCUUUUUUUUUUACUGGUGUUUUUUUAUAGAUUUUAUACAAUUUUUUGUUCUUUUAGUCUCCGCAGCUAAAACUUGUAGCCCAAGUUUUGCUUUAAUGUAAGGAAUUAGAAGAACAGUCCAGUCCAAUCUUGUUGAUUGGGAUAGAAUCGUAAAUAAAGCUGUCAGAUAACUUAGAUAAGUACACAAGUUAAAAAUGUGCAGUGCGCGCGUGGACUUAAGUUGACUAAAGAGAAUCUCCUGAGAUUUACUUACACUAAAGAUAAUUCUCUGAGAUUCACUUUUAGUUUUAGUUAUGCUCAAACUUAUAUUAUUAUUACCGUUUAACAAUGCGAAGAUAAGUACGAUUUACCAAGAAAAAGGGAAAUUAGCAUUUUAGGUGGUCCGUGUAGGAAUAGGUCAAUGAAAUAGCUAUAUAAACUGAGUCCCUUUCUCAUCCUCCUUUCUCAUUAGCAUCUUCUUAUUUGCUUGUUUAUUAUAUUUCUCCUGAGAGAUUUUGAUUCACCUCCGAGAAAAGAAAAGAAAAGAAACUCAGGGACCAAUGAUGGCGACCAAUGAUGAUGAUGCUAACAAACUCAGCGAGGGAUGCUUUGAUCUUUUUGCGGCGUUGCUUCUCGCUUGCGGUGACGAUGAAACAAGAGCGAAACAAGGACAAGAAGUGCAAGAGAGAAACAUGAUCAUGAUCGAGACUAUUACUAGUGCUGCCACCAACACUUUCUUGCUAGGCAAGCGAAAGAUUGAAGAUGAUGAUCAAGAAAACACUGCUUCUUCUUCUUCUUCUUCUUCUUCUUCGAGGAGUUUGGUAGAGUCCAAGAGGCGUCGUGUGGAGUCUAGCGAGGAACCCAUCAGAGCAGAACCUAUUAGAGAAAUCAAACCUCCGGUUAAGAAAAGAAAGAGACC